rnacentral:rRNA from 1 species
CCCGCUGAACUUAAGCAUAUCAGUAAGCGGAGGAAAAGAAACUAACGAGGAUCCCUUUAGUAGCGGCGAGCGAACAAGGAACAGCCUAACGUGAUCCGUGCGCACUCGUGGCGUGCGGGAUGAACGAUAUGGGUGCGCUGUUCUGCGCUCGUUGCCUUCCCUAAGUCCACUUGAAGAUGGCUCUUGAAAGGGUGAAAGACCCGUAAGGGAGGUGACUUGUGUGGAGUGGUGUGCCUUGGAGUAGGGUUGCUUGAAAGUGCAGCCCAAAGAGGGUGGUAAACCUCAUCUAAGGCUAAAUAUGGCCACGAAUCCGAUAGCAAACAAGUACCGUGAGGGAAAGUUGCAAAGUACUUUGAAGAGAGAGUUCAAUAGAACGUGAAACCGUUGCAAAGGAAGCAAAUGAAACCUAAGGCGAGCUGUGCCAGCCCGUCCGUCGGCGCGCCGGUGUGCGCUCAAUGCUGUCGUGCGCAAGCGCGGCGGCUAGGGUGUGCGCCGGUGUGCCGUAGGAUUUACUUGGUGUGGUUAGCUGCUCGGGGCUGCGCUCGUGAUGCUGAAUCCCGCCGACGGGCGCCACACUUCGGUGUGUGCGCUGUCGCGGUGCUAGGCGUGUGCAAGUGCGGCUUGAGUCGGGUCUGUUCCCCAGUCUCUUGCCUUUCCGCUCGCGCGGCGCGCUCGACUCGUCGAGUGUGUCCCGGGCGGGUCGGGAAUGGGCUGGGUGCUAACCGGCGUUCGGGCAGUGCUGAAGGUGGAUCAUUUGACCCGUCUUGAAACACGG